GAGAGUAUAGCUUGGUGGUAAGAGUCUGUGCUUAGCAUGCACAAGGUCCUGGGUUCAAUCCCCAGUAUCUCCA
rnacentral:tRNA from 1 species